rnacentral:rRNA from 1 species
GAGUUUGAUCGUGGCUCAGAUUGAACGCUGGCGGCAUGCCUUACACAUGCAAGUCGAACGGUAACAGGUCUUCGGACGCUGACGAGUGGCGAACGGGUGAGUAAUACAUCGGAACGUGCCCGAUCGUGGGGAUAACGAAGCGAAAGCUUUGCUAAUACCGCAUAAGAUCUACGGAUGAAAGCAGGGGACCGCAAGGCCUUGCGCGAACGGAGCGGCCGAUGGCAGAUUAGGUAGUUGGUGGGAUAAAAGCUUACCAAGCCGACGAUCUGUAGCUGGUCUGAGAGGACGACCAGCCACACUGGGACUGAGACACGGCCCAGGACUCCUACGGGAGGCAGCAGUGGGGAAUUUUGGACAAUGGGCGAAAGCCUGAUCCAGCCAUGCCGCGUGCAGGAUGAAGCC